rnacentral:lncRNA from 1 species
CUGCUCUGCCCUGGGAACACAGGUUGGAAAGCAAUUUGAGAACAGCUCUGCACAGGGGGCCUAGGCACCCCUAGAUCUGAGGCAGCUUCCUGGAGAAGGUGAAGAGAACAAUUUAGCAGCAAGGAAAAAGGCGAGGCAGUGUCCCUUCCCAGGGAACCCAGCAGCCACUGAAGAGAAAGGACCCUCUCCUUAGAAGCUCAGCUUCUAGAGCCAGGUGUGGUGGUGCACACCUGUAAUGCCAGCACUCGGGGCUGAGACAGGAGAAUCACCUAAAUUCAGGGCCAGCCUGGACUACAUAGUAAGACACCCCUUCCCCUCUUUAUUUCUUUCAGCCGAAAGAAAAGGAACCCAAAAGCACAGCUUCCAAUCCCGCCUCUGCCACUUUCCAGGUGGAGGACCUUAAGCAAAUCACCCCACUCCCCUUGGGACCUAAGUUCCCUACCCUCUAAGACAGGGCUAAUAAAUUACACCUCCUUGUGAAAAUGAAAUGAGUGGAAAAUGCUGAGCACACAAGUUGGUCUGGAGUAAACAAGUAAAUGGCAAGUAGCAUUUUCAUCAUCGUGGUCAUUAUUGUUCAUCCCCAAAGGCCACCGGCCAGCCCAGCCCAGCAGCUUCCCCGCUUCAGCAAACAGGCCAAACUCAAGCUCACCAGCAGCAAGACCAAGUGGGGCAGAAAAGGAAACUGAGGCAGACAACCUGGGCUGCUUCUCCUUGCCCUCUGCCUGGCUGAUGGCAUCCUGCCCAGGAACUUCAUGCCCCUCCUCUCCAGGAGGGGGCAGGUCCUCCACAUGUGUCUCCAAAACCUUUGGGAGUUUCUCCCUGGAGAGGGAGAGGCAGACAGGCAGACAGCAGUUCAGUGCUGCACAAAGGUUCAGAGACUGUGGAGAUCAGAUGGGAAGAAUGAGCCCUAAUUGGCCUCCUCAAUGAGCACUGAGAAGAAAGAGGGCAUGCAAGCGUGCUAACAUGCUUCGGGGAAAAAUAAAAACACCUGAGGUUAAGCUGUUUACCUGGAGAAAUAUUGUGGGGGAUGGGAGACAGAUGAAUCCUGUGGAACCCUAAUUGCUCAUGCCCAUGUCUGAGUGAAUAAAGCCAAGGUGUGCCAGUCAUUUGGGGCUCUAUGUCAAAGGGAGACGUGAGUUCCCUGCCCCCCACCCCCAGAUUUUAACUUGUUCCUGUGACUCUCAUUUUCUUCUUUGUCACCACUUGGUCAAGUUCCAGCUCAGCUUGUAGACUGGUUCCUACAAGAGACCCAGAUGCACACAGAUCUGUCUGAAUAUUGCCUGUAGCUCUCUAUAGCCGAUGACCUUGCCCAAGUCAAUUUCUCUCCUUUUCUCAGACUUCUCACUAUAAAUGGAGGAAAGAAGGGCACUCUAAGGGAGGGAUCAGGCUUGAGGGGUUGCCU